rnacentral:other from 1 species
UAGUCCCUGCGGUGUUCGAGAGCGACAGCGUGUCUUGAGCCGAUAAGCAAUUUGCAUGGAGAUCUAUAUAAAGCUGGCGUGCAUGCCCACUAGAUGGGAAGCCCGAUGUUUUAUGGCGAUCACCCCUUGAACCUCCUGGUUCAAGAACCCCGUUAGCAACGGCACUGUGGGGGCGUU